GAACCGUUCUUCUGCUCUACCGGUGGGUAUGGACGAAGGAGAUGAUUCCCGACGGACAUUGAUCCAAAGCUUUUUUUUCACUGCCUAGUUUUACGUCCUGUUGACGCACCUUCCCAGGCCUGUUUUCAAAGUUUCGUCCUGUUGACGACCUGUUACCCCCUGUUUUUUCCUGUUGUUGGGUUGCCGCAAAUAUUGGACCCGUUUAUCCAACUCUACCAUGGGCAACCUACUUGUGAUGUGGACCGGAAACUCCGCAAUGUAGCAGAGAACCCCCCACAGGUCUUGCGGAGUAUCCUUCCCAAGUGGUGUGGAUGUGAAGAGACACGACCGUUCCACUGAUGUACCAUGGCAUGGGUGACCUACUUGUGAUGUGGACCGGAACCUCCGCCAUGUAGCAGACAACCCCCCUCAGGUCUUGCGGAGUAUCCUUCCCAAGUUGCUUGAAUCAUCAUGGAUGAAAAGGGACACGACAGUUCCCCUGCUGUACCAUGGGCGACCUAACACAAUACCACUGCAUCUCAUAUAUUACAUUUUAUUUACUAAUAAUUUAAAGA